UACGUAGGGCGCAAGCGUUAUCCGGAAUUACUGGGCGUAAAGGGUGCGUAGGCGGUUCGUUAAGUCUGUCGUGAAAUCCCCGGGCUCAACCUGGGAAUGGCGAUGGAUACUGGCGAGCUAGAGUGUGUCAGAGGAUGGUGGAAUUCCCGGUGUAGCGGUGAAAUGCGUAGAGAUCGGGAGGAACAUCAGUGGCGAAGGCGGCCAUCUGGGACAACACUGACGCUGAAGCACGAAAGCGUGGGGAGCAAACAGG
rnacentral:rRNA from 1 species